GACCUCGGAUCAGGUAGGAGGACCCGCUGAACUUAAGCAUAUCAAUAAGCGGAGGANAAGAAACCAACAGGGAUUGCCCUAGUAACUGCGAGUGAAGCGGCAACAGCUCAAAUUUGAAAUCUGGCCUCGGCCCGAGUUGUAAUUUGCAGAGGAAGCUUUGGGCGCGGCGCCGUCUGAGUCCCCUGGAACGGGGCGCCAGAGAGGGUGAGAGCCCCGUAUAGUCGGAUGCCUAGCCUGUGUAAAGCUCCUUCGACGGGUCGAGUAGUUUGGGAAUGCUGCUCAAAAUGGGAGGUAAAUUUCUUCUAAAGCUAAAUACCGGCCAGAGACCGAUAGCGCACAAGUAGAGUGAUCGNAAAGAUGANAAGCACUUUGAAAAGAGGGUUAAACAGCACGUGAAAAUUGUUGAAAGGGAAGCGCUUGUGACCAAANUUGCGCCGGGCUGAUCAUCCNGNGUUUCUCACCGGUGCACUCUGCCCGGCUCAGGNCAANAUCGNUUCUUGCGGGGGGAUNAAAGCCCCUGGG
rnacentral:rRNA from 1 species